UCGAUUAAAACCCAGUCUGAGGUCUAAAUACAGAGUCCUUUGAGGGGCUCUGAACCUUACUUUCCUGGCGUAAACAAAUACUAGGAUUAUCAGGAAGUAUAGAAGAUUUCAGGGUCUCAUAAGCCUAGCCUUGAAGGCCUAAGCGGAAAUUGAAUUCUAAUAAACACCUGUCACUUAACGACAAGUUUCCAUGCCUGUUGACGGAUGCUGCCAAAUAUAAAUGAAGUAAAUUCUCACCUCCACCGUUGACCAGAGACUGGAUGGCCGCUAUGGAAGCCGCUUGUACGAUGACACUGUUCCCGAGAGAGUGACCAGUGACCACUGCGGGUCCAGAGGGCCCAACCAGCACUCCUGGUGUAGCGAGUUGCUGCUGUUCUUGUUGGUUCAUGCCGGAUGCAGCUGAAACUCACGCUCAUCAAUCAGCUGGGAAUAGCGGAAAAAGAGAAACAAACCUACGAACAAUGUUCUUUGGGUUCAAAUUUCACGACGAGGUUGAAAGUUCGAAUCGAGAAGGAGGUUGAUAUUCUUCCAGUCAGCGUAGACAGCAGUUCCACAGAUGAGUAUCGUCAAUGCGGAGUGGGUUGCCCGGCGAUAUCGUUCCCAGAGUAAAGGAGGCGCCACCGGUUGGAUUGUUUAACUACCGCUUAAAUGACGCGAAGAGAUUAGAUUGGAAGAAGGUUCCAAAAUUUCUGUGCUGUGAUUUCCUUGUGGUCUAGUGUAAUGUGGUACAAAGUUAUAAUUUCUAUAGAUCUUUUUUAAUAUCUCAAUUUCUUAACUUACCAUUGCUUUCAUCAUGCUAAACAAAGCAACAAACUAGAGCUUCAAUAUUUUUCCUAAAUCAAAUCACAUUUAUAGUUAGUUAAUCACUAAUGGAAUAAUUAUAAGUUUUUCAGAAAAUUACCCCGGUCAGUAAUAAACAAAUAAAACAGAAAUAUAUGAUUGCAGCUAGAAA